UACGAAGGGUGCAAGCGUUACUCGGAAUUACUGGGCGUAAAGCGUGCGCAGGCGGUUUUGUAAGUUUUGUCGUGAAAGCCCCGGGCUCAACCUGGGAAUUGCGAUGAAGACUGCAAGGCUUGAAUCUGGCAGAGGGGGGUAGAAUUCCACGUGUAGCAGGUGAAAUGCGUAGAGAUGAUGGAGGAACACCGAUGGCGAAGGCAGCCCCCUGGGUCAAGAUUGACGCUCAUGCACGAAAGCGUGGGGAGCAAACAGG
rnacentral:rRNA from 1 species